CCCUGUUGCUACUAGACUAAUUAGUUGAUUUUUUUUCGUCUGUAUUUUGUCACUAAUUCUAACUAAAGGGCCCACAGUAAUUGGUGUAAACUGUUGUGGUGUCCCCGCCUCUUUUUAUGUCUCGUGUAUAUGAAUUGUUGUGCUUGUAUUGUGUACGUUUUUUGUCAAGGCGAAGCUAAAUAAAUAAAUAAACUACACUUUUGUACAACCGGCUUAACUACGUGAUUAAAGUUAACUAUUUUUUAAGGCUUUUUAACUACUUUUUAACUGCAGUUAGCGCUAACUACGUUUUUAUACAACCGGCCCCAGAUGUAUUUCUCGUGUUAUCGUGAGAUAUCAUGUUCAACAC